ACCUGGGAUCACUCAGUUGGUAGAGCAUGAGACUCUUAAUCUCAGGGUUGUGGGUUCGAGCCCCAACGUUGGGCA